rnacentral:tRNA from 1 species
AAGGCUUUAAGUUAAAUAAACUCAUAGCCUUCAAAGCUAUAAAUAAAAAUUAUAUUUUUUAAGCCUUA